ACGGGAGGCAGCAGUGGGGAAUAUUGCACAAUGGGCGAAAGCCUGAUGCAGCGACGCCGCGUGAGGGAUGACGGCCUUCGGGUUGUAAACCUCUUUCAGCAGGGAAGAAGCGAAAGUGACGGUACCUGCAGAAGAAGCGCCGGCUAACUACGUGCCAGCAGCCGCGGUAAUACGUAGGGCGCAAGCGUUAUCCGGAAUUAUUGGGCGUAAAGAGCUCGUAGGCGGUUUGUCGCGUCUGCUGUGAAAGCCCGGGGCUCAACCCCGGGUCUGCAGUGGGUACGGGCAGACUAGAGUGAUGUAGGGGAGACUGGAAUUCCUGGUGUAGCGGUGAAAUGCGCAGAUAUCAGGAGGAACACCGAUGGCGAAGGCAGGUCUCUGGGCAUUAACUGACGCUGAGGAGCGAAAGCAUGGGGAGCGAACAGGAUUAGAUACCCUGGUA
rnacentral:rRNA from 1 species